rnacentral:rRNA from 1 species
GAUGAACGCUGGCGGCGUGCCUAAUACAUGCAAGUCGAGCGAAUGGAUUAAGAGCUUGCUCUUAUGAAGUUAGCGGCGGACGGGUGAGUAACACGUGGGUAACCUGCCCAUAAGACUGGGAUAACUCCGGGAAACCGGGGCUAAUACCGGAUAACAUUUUGAACCGCAUGGUUCGAAAUUGAAAGGCGGCUUCGGCUGUCACUUAUGGAUGGACCCGCGUCGCAUUAGCUGGUUGGUGAGGUAACGGCUCACCAAGGCAACGAUGCGUAGCCGACCUGAAAGGGUGAUCGGACACACGGGGACUGAGACACGGCCCAGACUCCUACGGGAGGCAGCAGUAGGGAAUCUGCCGCAAUGGACGAAAGUCUGACGGAGCAACGCCGCGUGAGUGAUGAAGGCUUUCGGGUCGUAAAACUCUGUUGUUAGGGAAGAACAAGUGCUAGUUGAAUAAGCUGGCACCUUGACGGUACCUAACCAGAAAGCCACGGCUAACUACGUGCCAGCCGCCGCGGUAA